GUCUUUGGGGGACUUUGCUUAAAC
rnacentral:piRNA from 1 species